UGGGGCGCAGAGUCUGACGUUCCAGAGCUCGGUGCCUGGCGGGGCUCCGGCGAGGAAGUAGGGCCAACCCCCAGGAGCAGGCAGCGGGGUCUCAGGGCUCCGUGUGCCACGUGGGGAGAAGCGGUUCCCCCGCUUGGAGGGCGUUUGGUAGAGGCCAUGCGGCCUCCCCUCGGGCAAAGGUCCCAGCGGAUCCUGGAGAGCAGCCCCGUUUGCUGGUUUGGGAACAAAGACGCCAGAGUGUGGUGGCACCGGCUGUGUUGUGGUUUGCCUUAAUCUCCGAACCUCUGCCCUCGUGCGGUUACACGUUUUCUGGGGCAACGUGGGACCACCGCUCAGCAACGUCCUCCCCAGAGAGUCGGCUGGAGUCCGCGCCACGGGGCCUCUGAAGUGCGGGCUUUUGAAACACAGCGCAUCUGAGAUAACACCCGGAGGGAGGUGCGGCCCGGCAGGCAGCCGGCUGGGACACGGACAGGGUAGAGGCGGGAGUGGACGGAGGCCUGAGACAAACGAGGGGUGCUUGAUCGCGGGUCUGUGAGCGCACAGAGCUCCCGGGGGUCGGAGAUGAGGUCGCUGGGCGAAGCCACGCCCACUCUCCCACGCGCACCUGCACUCACACUGAUCCACUCCAGUCCGCUACGCAGUGCCACCUAGUGGAGAACGGAGCCGUCACACCAAGCCCCGCCCAACAAAUUGUUACUGCGUGAAGAAAACAACGAAUUUGGGGUUGCUAGUUUAUUAUCACAGAAAUUAAGCAAUGAGUUUCUGUGUUUGCCCUGACUGAUAAGGCGUGAACGGAAAUGAUUUGCAAUGACGCACCACUGCUGGAGGAAAAUGGUUGAGGACAGGAUUGAUUGUCAAAUGAGCACAGAGCCCCUGCUUUGCCCAUUGUUACCAUCCAGUGUCUACACCUGGGGACUCCGGUUUUCACCUCAGACGGCAGAACUCACCUACAUCUGACUUCUAAGAUCUGGAGGGAUCCAGAGAACAAUCAUUUUAGCUUUCAGGAACUGAUACCACCUGAUUUCAGGACGUAAUAGAAAGCCGUAGCAAUCACAACCAUGUGACAUUGGUCAAAGAACAGACAUCUAGAUCCGUAGAGUGAAUGGAGAUCUCGUAAGUAUAGUCACUGAUCGUUGACAACGAAGCCAAGACCAUCUUCGUAAAAUGCAAAAUGUAAAACUUCUGGAAGAUGAUAUCGGGGAACACCCAGGUGGCCUUGGGGAUGGUGUCGACCUUUAGAUCCAACACUAAAGACGGGAUCCGUGAAAGGAAGGACCGAUAAGCUGGACUGCAUUAAAAUAAAAAGUUUCUUCUCUCAGAAAGACAAUGUCAGAGAGAGAGAGAGAGAGGACAAGCCACAGACUGGGAGAAGAUAUUUGCAAAAGACACAUCUGAGAAAGGACUGUUAUUCAAAACUCAAAACAUACAAAGAACCUGGGGCGCCUGGGUGUCUCAGUCUGUUAAGCAUCUGACUCUUCAUUUUGGCUCAGGUCAUGAUCUUAAGGUUUGUGAGGCCGAGCCCCAUGUCGGGCUCUGAGCUGGCAGCAUGGAGACUGAGGGGGAAUCUCUCCCUCUGUCGCCCCUCCCCAACUCACGAUCUCACUCACUCUCUGUCUCUCUCAAUAAAGAAAUAAACUUAUAUACACAUAUGUAAAGAACUUUUAAAGCUCAAUACUAAGGAAACAAACAGCCAAUUAAAAAUUGGGCCAAACCCUAACAGACACCUCCCCAGAGAGGUUAUGCAGAGGGAAGUUAGCAGGUGAAAUGGCGCACCAUAUACCACCAGGGACACACAAAUCGAAACAACUGUGAGACAGCACCGGGCACUGACCGGAAUGGCCAAAUCGGAACUCUGACAGCAUGCAACGCCGGCCAGGAUGCAGAGCAGCAGGAAGUCAAGGUCACUGCCGGCGGGAAUGCACAGUGGAAGCCACUGUGGGGGCCACUGUGAGGGCCACCGUGGGGGCCACUGCGGGGGCCACUGUGGAGGUCACUGCAGGGGCCACUGCGGGGGCCACUGCGGGGGCCACUGCGGGGGCCACUGCGGGGGCCACUGUGGGGGCCACUGUGGAGGUCGCUGUGGGGGCCACCGCGGGGGUCUCUUAUGAAGCGAAGCACACUCUUAACAAGUAGUCCUUGGUACUCACAAAAGGAAUUGAAACACGUCCACACAACCUGCCCCCCCCCAAGUUUAUAGUGGUGUUGUUCCCAAAUCAUGGACGCCCUUCGGUGGGUGAAUAAAUGAAUAAGCUGUGGUCCACGCGGACAGUGGAGGGUUACUCUGCGCUACAAGGAGAUGAGCCAUCAAGCCGUGAAAAGACGCGGACGAACCUUCCAUGCAGAUGAUUAAGUGAAGGAAGUGGGUCUGAAAGUCUACACACUGCGUGACUCCAACCACAGGACGUUCUGGAAAAGACAGAACUACGGCGAUGGUGCCAAGACUGGUGGUUGCCUGGCAUCGGGGGAGGGAUGAUGGUCGGAGCACAGGACUCUUCGGGCAGUGAAACUGCUCUGUCAGCAGGUUACAGGCCUCACGGCUAACACAUCGGCUGCACAAGCCGAGGAACCUGGGGAUCCCCCCGGACGGCGCCGAAGUCCCACCUGCAGGGGUUGCUGGACUAAUGAUCUGUCACUUUCUGUAAACACUCAUCUCAGACCCACGAACCCACAGUGCAUUUGCUUGGAACUCAGCAGCAACAUAAGGAAAUAUUUACGAAGCACAACGUUCCAGGAGAGGGGAGAAGCGUGCGGGGGACAGACAGACACACGGUUCGGAGCAGCAUAAUUCACACUGUUCCGGG